rnacentral:rRNA from 1 species
AGCGAACGCUGGCGGCAGGCUUAACACAUGCAAGUCGAGCGGGCAUAGCAAUAUGUCAGCGGCAGACGGGUGAGUAACGCGUGGGAACGUACCUUUUGGUUCGGAACAACACAGGGAAACUUGUGCUAAUACCGGAAAGGCCCUUACGGGGAAAGAUUUAUCGCCGAAAGAUCGGCCCGCGUCUGAUUAGCUAGUUGGUGAGGUAAAGGCUCACCAAGGCGACGAUCAGUAGCUGGUCUGAGAGGAUGAUCAGCCACAUUGGGACUGAGACACGGCCCAAACUCCUACGGGAGGCAGCAGUGGGGAAUAUUGGACAAUGGGCGCAAGCCUGAUCCAGCCAUGCCGCGUGAGUGAUGAAGGCCCUAGGGUUGUAAAGCUCUUUUGUGCGGGAAGAUAAUGACGGUACCGCAAGAAUAAGCCCCGGCUAACUUCGUGCCAGCAGCCGCAGUAA